CAUAUCAAUAAGCGGAGGAAAAGAAACUAACAAGGAUUCCCCUAGUAACUGCGAGUGAAGCGGGAAAAGCUCAAAUUUAAAAUCUGGCGGCGUUUCGCUGUCCGAGUUGUAAUCUAGAGAAGUGCUAUCCGCGCUGGACCGUGUACAAGUCUCCUGGAAUGGAGCGUCAUAGAGGGUGAGAAUCCCGUCUUUGACACGGACUGCCAGGGCUUUGUGAUGCGCUCUCAAAGAGUCGAGUUGUUUGGGAAUGCAGCUCAAAAUGGGUGGUAAAUUCCAUCUAAAGCUAAAUAUUGGCGAGAGACCGAUAGCGAACAAGUACCGUGAGGGAAAGAUGAAAAGAACUUUGGAAAGAGAGUUAAACAGUACGUGAAAUUGCUGAAAGGGAAACGCUUGAAGUCAGUCGCGUUGUCCAGGGAUCAACCUUGCUUUUGCUUGGUGCACUUUCUGGUUGACGGGUCAGCAUCAAUUUUGACUAUUGGAAAAAGAUUAGGGGAAUGUGACAUCUUCGGAUGUGUUAUAGCCCUUGGUUGCAUACAAUGGUUGGGAUUGAGGAACUCAGCACGCCGCAAGGCCGGGUUUUUAACCACGUACGUGCUUAGGAUGCUGGCAUAAUGGCUUUAAUCGACCCGUCUUGAAACACGGACCAAGGAGUCUAACAUGCCUGCGAGUGUUUGGGUGGAAAACCCGAGCGCGUAAUGAAAGUGAAAGUUGAGAUCCCUGUCGUGGGGAGCAUCGACGCCCGGACCAGACCUUUUGUGACGGUUCCGCGGUAGAGCAUGUAUGUUGGGACCCGAAAGAUGGUGAACUAUGCCUGAAUAGGGUGAAGCCAGGGGAAACCCUGGUGGAGGCUCGUAGCGAUUCUGACGUGCAAAUCGAUCGUCAAAUUUGGGUAUAGGGGCGAAAGACUAAUCGAUCCAUCUAGUAGCUGG
rnacentral:rRNA from 1 species